GCUUUAAGGCUGAGAGGUGAGCAGAUCUCGCAGGGAGAUCCCGAAGAAGAGGCAGAGAGCCGCCCGCGCCAGCUGUCACUGUUCCAGUGCGUGGCCAUGUUUCCCUUCAGAUAAUAAAUGUCAUCAAGUUUGGUCACACGGGUAUUAAAUCACAUUCAAGCACCUGUUUACCUGCAGAGCAGUUUAAUAUUCAUAGCAAAACUGAGGAGAAAGUACCCACAUACCCUCUGCCCCUCACACACAGCCUCCUCUACUAUUGACACCUGCUCCACAGGGGUUUUGGUGUAGAUGAGUUUUCAACUCCUCCCUGUCAAUACCAAGGAGAGAUUGCUGGAUUAUAAGUGUCCUCCCCAGACUCUGUCCUUGCCUCUUGGGUCACGGUCAGUGAUGUCUCCACCUGUGUUGUCCUGAGUGUGUGACUCUGGCUCAAGGGUUCUGCUGGCCCAGCCCAACAACCGUGCUGAGCUGGGCCUCUAAGUUUAGGAGCACCUGAGGUCCCAGCUGCAGAGGCGUCUGAUCAGGCUCAGAGGCAUCAAACAGAUCAGCACAACAUACUAAAAUUUGUAUCUACCAUCAGCAGUCUCCAUUAAACGUGUGCCCCUAUUAAACAAGUAUUCCCUUUGGAAAGAAUUUCAAAGUCAUCGCA
rnacentral:lncRNA from 1 species